rnacentral:rRNA from 1 species
AUUGGAAGUUUUCAUGUUCAUAGUACAGCUUCUCAACCAAUCAUUGAAUUUAAGCAAUAUCAAGUCUGGUUAGUACUUAGAUGGGUGGCCACAUGGGAAACCUAAAUGCCCUCAGUA